rnacentral:rRNA from 1 species
GAUGAACGCUGGCGGCGUGCCUAAUACAUGCAAGUCGAGCGAACAGACGAGGAGCUUGCUCCUUUGACGUUAGCGGCGGACGGGUGAGUAACACGUAGGUAACCUACCUAUAAGACUGGGAUAACUUCGGGAAACCGGAGCUAAUACCGGAUAAUAUUUCGAACCGCAUGGUUCGAUAGUGAAAGAUGGCUUUGCUAUCACUUAUAGAUGGACCUGCGCCGUAUUAGCUAGUUGGUAAGGUAACGGCUUACCAAGGCAACGAUACGUAGCCGACCUGAGAGGGUGAUCGGCCACACUGGAACUGAGACACGGUCCAGACUCCUACGGGAGGCAGCAGUAGGGAAUCUUCCGCAAUGGACGAAAGCCUGACGGAGCAACGCCGCGUGAGUGAUGAAGGUCUACGGAUCGUAAAACUCUGUUAUUAGAGAAGAACAAACGUGUAAGUAACUGUGCACGUCUUGACGGUACCUAAUCAGAAAGCCGCGGCUAACUACGU